AAGAGAGAGACAUGCGCGCAUAUCAAUAAGCGGAGGAAAAGAAACUAACUAAGGAUUCCCUCAGUAACGGCGAGUGAAGCGGGAAGAGCUCAAAUUUGAAAUCUUCAAGGUUCUACCUUGACGAAUUGUAGUUUAAAGAAGUGUUUUCUGUUGGAGUUUUGGUAAAAGUUCUUUGGAAUAAGGACAUCAUAAGAGGGUGAGAAUCCCGUAUUUGACCAUUAUUUCCAGCUUUGUGAUACACUUUCAAAGAGUCGGAUUGUUUGGGAAUGCAGUCCAAAAUGGGUGGUAAAUUUCAUCUAAAGCUAAAUAUUGGCGAGAGACCGAUAGCGAACAAGUACCGUGAGGGAAAGAUGAAAAGAACUUUGAAAAGAGAGUUAAACAGUACGUGAAAUUGUCAAAAGGGAAGCGUUUGACACCAGUGUUGUUUUCUCGAAAAUCAAUUAAAAAAUGGCUGGAUUUUGUGUUGUAUUGACUUUAUCAAGCUUUCUUCACUCUUUUCUUGUCUUUUUUAAUGCACUUUUCGUUUAACAAGUCAACAUCAGUUUCUUUUGUUGUAAAAGGGUCAUUGGAAGGUGGCUUUCUUUUCGGAGAAAGUGUUUAUAGCCUUUGGCCUCUGCAAUCGGAGAGAUUGAGGUCUGCAGCGUAGACUCCUUCGGGGUUAGAUACAUUUGUGCUAAGUUAUAGCCUUUCAUAGACAACUUGUUGACUAUGAUCAGUCAUGUAGCUUACUCGCUUAUGCUAUUUUACCUACGCUUAGGAUGUUGACAGCAGUAUAGACUGU
rnacentral:rRNA from 1 species